rnacentral:rRNA from 1 species
UACAGAGGGUGCAAACGUUGUUCGGAAUUACUGGGCGUAAAGCGCGUGUAGGCGGCUUGGCAAGUCGGGUGUGAAAGCCCCGGGCUCAACCUGGGAAGUGCACUCGAAACUGCUUGGCUGGAGUGUCGGAGAGGGAAGCGGAAUUCUCGGUGUAGAGGUGAAAUUCGUAGAUAUCGAGAGGAACACCGGUGGCGAAGGCGGCUUCCUGGACGACGACUGACGCUGAGACGCGAAAGCGUGGGGAGCAAACAGG